GAAUAUAAAAAAAUAAGAAAAAGAACAGUAAGAUUGAUAUCCAUAGUGUUCAGGUAUCAUCAAAUGAUCAGAUCAUUUAUCAUCACCCCAAAUCCCCAUCAGUGUGUUUUAAAGGAAAUGUUACAGAAUUUGUAUUAUUUGAUUUGGUAUUUAAUAACAAUUAUAAGUACAAUGGCAGACAUUUAAAAAGAGAGCCCUUGAUAAAGAAAAGACAAUUUUAAAUAAGAAAGUUUUGUUAAAGGUUGUUAUAAGUGCCAUUUUAUCCAUAAGCAUUCCUUUUAAGGCAUUUCCAUUAUUGUCAUACUAUCUAAACAUGUACAGAAAGGUUUACAUUUGAUAAUGGGCUCCUUUUUUGAACCUGCAUUAUUAUUAGUUCCAAACAAAGAUUAAAGAAAUAAAAAUACAAUUUGGGAUUAAAUGUAGCCAGAAAAGAAGCAUCUUUUCAUAAGAAGCAAUGUAAAAAACCUUUAAAUCAUUACACAUGCUCCCCUAAUGUACUUCCAGUUUGUUUUGUUGUCUGUUUUUUUUGGCAACACAUUUUUCACUCCUAACAAAGUAUUAGUUAACAAAGAAUGGGAUAUGAGAAGUGGCUGCAAUUCAAUAAUGAGCAUAGUAAAUUUUAAAGAGGGUUCUUUUACCAUGUCCUGGCAUGAAAGGUGCUACAUACAAACUUGUUUCAUUUAACUCUUUGGUAAUUACCAACCUAAAACCUUUAACCAAAAACUUCUCCAUAUGCCUCAAAGUGAAGCACUAUGCAGCAGAAUCUUCUGUGGUUACCAGAAAUGAUACUAUUUUCAUACACAUUGAAUUGUUUUUCUAAGGACUGAGCUAUUGAUUCAAGUGAGACCAGAAAUAAAAGAAUGAGCAGUCUAUAGAGAAAAAAAAUAAAAUUUUCAGAUUCCAGUAGAGUAGAUUUGCAACUUGAAAGAACAAGACUGCACAUGACAAAAAAAGUAUUGUUACCUAAUAAGCUCUCUUGAAACCAUUUUAAGGAAAAAAGGGAAAUCUUUGUGGCUAUUAUUUCCAAUGAGUUUUACCUCUCCUUUUCUAAAGAGGGAACAAAGAAGGCAUGAAGUACAGUUAAAACUAUUUAGUGACCAUCUUGAUUACUUCUUGGUUGCUUCUUCCUAGGCUACUUUAUUAGGUGGUUAAAUUUCCAGCCUACAUAGAAUGGCUAAUAGGACUGCCCUUAAAUUCUUUCCACUUCUAAAGCUGCACUAAGCUCCUUAAACAAUUCAGAAGAAUCCCUCUUUAAGAGUAUUAAUGUUUCAGGAAGAUGAACCUAUGAUUAUAUUGGACCCCUUUGUCAGACCACCUCCAAUUUAUCACAUGGCAAAUUUCAAUGAUGGCCUGUGAACAUGUGCUAUUUGCAAGUAUCCACUACUGAAUAGAAAUCUAAGUCUCUUAAUUGAAUUUAUUUAACUAAAACAUAAUUUUUACUUUUAUUUUCAGAUUUAUUGUAAAUGAAGUUUAUAUAUUUUUUACAUGUUAAGUUUUUUGUGAUUGGGGUGCUAUCCACUGCUCAUUUAAUCUUUUAGUUUAAGAAGCCAUUAAGUAUUUUAGUCACCUAAUAAUAUUAAAAACAAUAUUUUGAAGUCUAUAGAAUAGGCUUGAAACAUGUAUUCUGUGCAGUUUCAUGUUUUAGAACAAUUCUUUUAUGUUUACAUAGCACCUUUCAUCCAAAGGCAUCAGAGUUACUUUAAUUUUAAAAUGCCAUAUGGCAGCAAAUAAGAUUUGUUUUAGGAAUAGCAAAAUCAAAACCAAGUAAAAUUGGCAUUAAGGAUAGACCCAAGUUACCCUAUCUUUUUGAUUAAAAUAUCAUGCUGUCUCUAUUUUGGAGUUUGGAUUUCUCUGAGAGUAAACAGUAUGUAAGUACAAUAUCAUUAGUGGCAAUGACACAACAAAAAGAGACUCUUUGUAUGACUUCUACAUUAGUGAUGAACAAAUGGUUCAUAAACUACAUAGAGAAAUACAUCAAAUAUGGAAAUAUCUCAAAAGCAUUUUUGUAAGCUGGUACUGAGAGCCUAAGAAGUAAACUGCUAAUAUUAAAAAAAAAAAAACAAAAAAACUUUUUUUACCAUUUCAAACUUGUAUGAAUAUUAAGAAACUCUAU
rnacentral:lncRNA from 1 species